AUGUACUGUUUAAGUAAAUUUGUUUUUAAAUGAAUGAAUGAAAAAAAAAAAAAACCUGAGUGGACCUCACAUUUAAUCCUUCGACAGAGCACACACUUUUGUUGUGGUAAAGAUUCCCUGGAACUGCAUCAAAACCAGUCACCUUCUACACUGCACCAUGUUCAAGGUAAUUACAGAACACAUUUCGUGAUAAAGGAGAUUUCAAUGCUGUUCAAGUCAACAAGGAUGAGAAGACAGUGUCCUAACCUCUAGGAAUAUGCAGUUUAGUCACAAGGGCAAAAAUCAGUGUAUGAUGUAUUGAGUACCAUGCCAGUUCAUUGACAAGUAAACUAUAGGUCAAGCUGAAGGAACUCACACUACUGAGGACUGUAUUUGGACUGAAUCUGAAGGAAGAAUAGGAGUUUACCAGACAGACCAGGAAAGUCCAUCUGGGGAAAGAAGACAAGCAUGUGGAAAUAGAGCAGACCAGAACCUGGCCCUCUGUGGGAACUUAAUAAAUAUCUGUUGCCCUGAAUUAGAGUAAAUUAU
rnacentral:lncRNA from 13 species